UUAAUUAUAAGUGGUUUCUGCUCAAUGUAAUUAAUAGCCGCGGUAUCUUGACCGUGCAAAGGUAGCAUAAUCAUUUGUCCCAUAAUUGGGGGCUGGAAUGAAUGGAGUGACAAGAUUCUUGCUUUAUUGGGUAGAGGCGAAGAAAUUGCUUUUUUAGUGAAGAAGCUAUAAUUAAUUUGGGGGACAAGAAGACCCUUUUGAGCUUUAUUUAGUUUAUUUUUUUUAAAUUGGGUUAAUUUGGUUGGGGCGACCGGGGAAGUAAAGAUUUUCCCUAUUUACUUUGAUCCGUGGGUUUUGAUUGAUGGAAUAAGCUAUCCAAAGUUAUUGAUAAACGGAAUAAACUACCAAAGGGAUA
rnacentral:rRNA from 1 species